UACGUAGGGUGCGAGCGUUAAUCGGAAUUACUGGGCGUAAAGCGUGCGCAGGCGGUUUUGUAAGCCAGAUGUGAAAUCCCCGGGCUUAACCUGGGAAUGGCAUUUGGGACUGCAAGGCUGGAGUACGGCAGAGGAGACUGGAAUUCCUGGUGUAGCAGUGAAAUGCGCAGAUAUCAGGAGGAACACCAAUUGCGAAGGCAGCUCGCUGGGACGUUACUGACGCUGAGACGCGAAAGCGUGGGGAGCAAACAGG
rnacentral:rRNA from 1 species